AGCACUGAGGCCCUCCUCCUGGCUCUGAUUGGUUGUUUCUGAACGGAAGCGGUGCAUUUCUUCAGAUGACAAUAGUAGCUCUGGGAGGAGCUGAAGGCGUUCAAACCUUUCACAGAUUCUGUCUCAUAU